rnacentral:rRNA from 1 species
CGUGUAGGCGGCUUGUUAAGUUGGUUGUGAAAACCCAUGGCUCAACCAUGGAAGGGCGUCCAAAACUGGCAAGCUAGAGUCCCGACGAGGAUGGCGGAAUUCCCAGUGUAGAGGUGAAAUUCGUAGAUAUUGGGAGGAACACCGGUGGCGAAGGCGGCCAUCUGGGAGGGCACUGACGCUGAGACGCGAAAGCGUGGGGAGCAAACA